CUGACACUUGUGAAAGCCUGGCCCCGGCUCCUGGCCGUUGGCUGUCCUGCAUUCCUGGGCCUGGGGAGGACAGGCAGCUCACCUUGUCAUUUGAGAGUAAUGACAGGGCUGGUGUCGGCUGCCACACAGGGCCCUUGCUCCCACAGAAGGUCCUGGCCCACCUCCACCGGGCAGGGAAACAGCACAGAGAAACCAAGUCUCUCACCCAAGAAGACCAGCCAGAGCUGAUGCAGGCAGCCUGGCCCCGCCCGGCCACCAGACCUGAAUGGCAUGCAGCUUCCUCACCACUUCCAGCCACCCGCCUCGGCCUCCACGUCCGUGAGUGGGCUUGCAGGAGCAGCAGAGGACCUUGGGGUCUUUCCAACCCUGUCCUCUCAAUUCCCGCUGCCCUCCUUCCUGAGACGUUAGUGCACAGGGCAGCCCCUGGGAGGCCUCACCCAGCCCUAACCAGGGCCUGAGUCCGGGACCCAAUCCCUCUGGCCCAGGGCCCCUCCCUGGAGGUCACCAGGACCCAGCAUGGCACCAAGCACGCCGGGAUUUAAGUGGGUCAGUUGGGGAAGAAAGGAGGAGGAAUGCAAUGCCAUUAAUUGUGCCCCUUAUCUCCUGUUUCUAUGCCAACCAGACGUUCCCGGGGCUUGACGGGCCCGUGAAUAAUACUCCCGGCUGGCCUAUCUGCCAUCGACAGCCCUUCUCCUAGAGGCAGCUGUUGCCUCCCGAUUGGUAUCGCCAACCUGUGGACCUGGGCCUGGGCCUGCCUAGAGGCCAUCCUGGAGAACUCGGGCCCUGGGUGGACUGCUGCCUGCCCUCCAUAGCCCUGGUCUCCUGGAGGUUUCGAGGCUCCUGUCCCCAUUUCACAGAAAGGGAGACUGAGGCUACAGCUUC
rnacentral:lncRNA from 1 species